GAUGAACGCUGGCGGCGUGCCUAAUACAUGCAAGUCGAGCGAACAGACGAGGAGCUUGCUCCUCUGACGUUAGCGGCGGACGGGUGAGUAACACGUGGAUAACCUACCUAUAAGACUGGGAUAACUUCGGGAAACCGGAGCUAAUACCGGAUAAUAUAUUGAACCGCAUGGUUCAAUAGUGAAAGACGGUUUUGCUGUCACUUAUAGAUGGAUCCGCGCCGCAUUAGCUAGUUGGUAAGGUAACGGCUUACCAAGGCAACGAUGCGUAGCCGACCUGAGAGGGUGAUCGGCCACACUGGAACUGAGACACGGUCCAGACUCCUACGGGAGGCAGCAGUAGGGAGUCUUCCGCAAUGGGCGAAAGCCUGACGGAGCAACGCCGCGUGAGUGAUGAAGGUCUUCGGAUCGUAAAACUCUGUUAUUAGAGAAGAACAAAUGUGUAAGUAACUAUGCACGUCUUGACGGUACCUAAUCAGAAAGCCACGGCUAACUACGUG
rnacentral:rRNA from 1 species